rnacentral:rRNA from 1 species
AGUGAACGCUGGCGGUAGGCCUAACACAUGCAAGUCGAACGGCAGCACAGUAAGAGCUUGCUCUUACGGGUGGCGAGUGGCGGACGGGUGAGGAAUACAUCGGAAUCUACUUUUUCGUGGGGGAUAACGUAGGGAAACUUACGCUAAUACCGCAUACGACCUACGGGUGAAAGCAGGGGAUCUUCGGACCUUGCGCGAUUGAAUGAGCCGAUGUCGGAUUAGCUAGUUGGCGGGGUAAAGGCCCACCAAGGCGACGAUCCGUAGCUGGUCUGAGAGGAUGAAGCGAAACACUGGAAAGGAGACACGGCCCAGACCCAUCGGGGAGGGCGCAGGGGGAAAUAGGGAAAAAGGGGCGAAAGCCGGAUCCACCCAUCCGGGGGGGGGGAAAAGGGCUUUGGGUUUGAAAACCCUUUUGGUGGGAAAAAAAAAGCAGCAGGUUAACCCCCCGUUGUUCGGAGGGCACCAAAAAAAAAAGCACCGGCAAACCCGGGG